CUCGUGGAAGCCCAGGUACGCGCGGUGGGCAAAGAUCUGGUCGUAAGCCGGCGGGUGCGGGGUGACCACCGGAAUGGCAGCGGCGGCCAGAGGGGCGAGAUAGUCAGGAUUCCAGCACAGACACCAUACAUGCCAUCUCUAGCACCGUUAGCCUCUGCCUAAGCUAAGCUAAACGAACAGAUGCAACGUUCUGUCAGCACAGCUGCGUCUAUAGCACUGGUCUUGCCGGCCUUGUUGUGGCAGCAUUACCCAGAACUAUCGCACCAGUGAUGGAAAGCAACGCCUCUGUCCUACCAAACUGCUGAGCCUACCAAAAGACAGGGAAGGAGACCAAACAGCCACACCACUGCCUCCCGAGCCAGCCAUGGUCAUGCCUUCCCCAGUCCCUUUCACAGCCUCAGAGGACAUCAAGGCUGUCUAACAGCCAGGAUUCGCUGCUUUUUGUCUUUCAUUCCUUGCCAGGUGUGGCCAGCUCUAUGCUCACCGCAUGUGAACAGCCAGCCAUGCUGCCAGAGUCAUGCUCAGCAGGAUCAGUAUUGGAGGUAAUAGUAGCCUCAGGCCAGACUGCUUCAUUAUGAGAGAGAUUUUGACAGCCCAGCAGCAAGAGCAACAGCAGGGAGGGCUCAGGUGGGUAUUCAGGGGAGGAGGGUUGGGAAGGAAGACACUGGAAAGGGCUUUGCCUCUCAGAAAAUACUUUCUCAGGAACUGCUGGGCUGUACCCUUUUUAAUCCCGCUGAUACAGAACGCUGCCUUUUACACAAAUGUAUUAGAGUGAAAAAGGAGCACCAUGGAACUCAGAGUUUUUUCUGCCUUUCUUGGAAGUAGGGUCACGGUAUUAUGAGCUUACACAACAAACCAUGAGCUUACACAACAAACCAGAGCUGUAAAUUGCAUACGUCCCUAUCUAAUCCAAGCAUUUUGUCUGCUUCCAAGAGAACAGCCUGGGACAGUCAAUGGUGGUUUAAGGAACUCUCUUCUCAUCAAACUGUUUUCACAAAAUGCCUCUUCCAAACCACCUUCCCUACAAGUGCCCUGUGUAGCUAUGUGACCAGUCUAAGUAGAUCACAGUACUCAAAAAAACUAAGAAAUAAAUGUCUGUUGGGGAGAAGUGAAGGAAGUUUCAUCUGGGAGGCAAGGACUCUAAUUCUAAACUAGCUGCUCCCUUCUUCUAAAUAAUUAAUAACUUCCCAUGCAGGGAGCACAUGUGUUCUCUCUCUGACUGGUAUAGCAGUUGUGCGGUGCUGUAACCAGUCACCUGGCCGGGAGCUCGGUGACCUUUGUAUGCUGCUACACAUGCUGCACAGCAAGAAUCACCCUGCGACUGCACUGGGAGGCUGGCUGUGCCCCCAGGGACCAUUUCCCUUUGUGAUGUGCUGCCAGAGGAAUAUGGCACUGGAAAACCUAUCAAAUGAUAAAGGACUGAUUCAUCCCUCUUCCCUACUGGUUGAAGUUCAGGUACGUCGUGGUAUCUGAGAUCAGAAUCAGCCUUGAGAUCUCCACAACAAGAAGUUUAAAUUAAAAAGGCACUAUCCUAUUUCCAUUAAAAUCAAUGGCAAACUUUUACUGACUUCACACUUCAGUGUUUUAGCCCCCCAUAAUACAGCAAGAGGUUGCCCUUCUCUACAAAGGUUUUGGAAAACAACAAGUUUAGCUACACUCGGUUGAUGCCUCCGUGUUGUCAAAAAAGAACUUACAGGAAUCACCAAUGGCGUAAGGCUUUAAGUAUCAAGGCUGCCGUUAUACUAACCAUUCUCUCUGACCCAUUACUUUUAAGGCAAGAGCUGCCUUCUUUGCAGUUCCAACGGCUGGACAGCUUCCCUGUGCUUCUCUCUGCAUUAACUAUUGUUCUUUGUGCAUAUUGCAAUUAAAAAUGCAUCCUUCUCCUCUG